GGAGUUGUGGCUCAGUGGUAGAGUUCUUGCUUAGCAUGUGUGAGGCCCUGAGUUCGAUUCUCAGCACCA
rnacentral:tRNA from 1 species